ensembl:miRNA mdo-mir-7398u mdo-mir-7398u
CUCGUAGAGACAAGAAAGUUACUGUAAUCUGUCAGGUAAUUUUCUUAUCUCUCGAAGU